UCUUCUUCUUCCCAGGAACUCUAUAUUGCCUACACAAACUACCCUUCUCUUAUUUCUUUUUUCCUUUCAAUCUCAUUAUUAUUCUUUUUGAUUCAUUAG